ensembl:snRNA U6 U6 spliceosomal RNA
CAAGAUUAGCAUGGCCCCUGAGCAAGGAGGACACACAAAUCUGUGAAGCAUUCCAUAUUUUU